GUGGGUAUAGCUCAGUGGUAGAGCACAUGCUUAGCAUACAUGAGGUGUUGGGUUCAAUCCCUAGUACCUCCA
rfam:Camelus ferus unplaced genomic scaffold scaffold304, whole genome shotgun sequence.